CCCUGGUCCAGAUUUCCAACGCCCUUGCUAAGUUUUCUUCGAGUGAGGACUUGAACAUUAUCGUCAAACUUUUUUAUUCUUUUUAUUUGUAUAAAUGAUUUGUACAAAUCUUUUUAUUUGUAUAAAUGCAUUUUCAAUUUUUUAUUUUGAAAAAAAUCUUUAUUUUGGAAAGUGAAAUGUGAUCCUCUCUCUAAAGUUAGAGAGAGGAUCACAUUUGGUGUUAAUAAUUUCAUUUGUUUAGAAGCAAUAUUAGUCCCGCCUUCCACCCAUGGGAUCACACCAGCACGCAUUAGCUAGGUCCAUUGACUGUUUUCUACAGUCAUUGGCUAGGUCUUUCACUUUGAAAGCAAAUGAGACAGGCUGCAGAUGGUGGUGCGGAAUUAUCGAUUGAUUUGGUACAGCGAGCUGUCUGGAAGAAAGACUGGCUCAACUUCAUUUAGCCACAUCACCUGAGCAGGAGUCACCUGAGUCAGACCUGAACCAUCAAAGUGGAAAGCAGACUCAAGGUCAUCAAAGGCCCAAAGGACCGUCCUGUAAACUGGCAAUAAACCAGAAUACCAAUAUAAAGAUUUUUCUUUCUAUUAACAGUGGCCAAGUAAGUUAGAAAACACAGUGGAUCAAAAAUUAAAAAGUGUGCCACUGCACAGUGUCUCCCCGCUCAGCAGAAAAGAGCCAGCCCCAUCCCUCAGCCCAGCCACACAUCCACCAUAGCAGCAGUCUGGAAGAAUCACACCCAUCAUAUUCACAUCGAGAUGUGGGGAAAAAAGGGAAAACUCUAUUUUUUCCAAAAUGGGAAUCAUGAAGGGAAAGACAGCUGAAAUUAAACACGAAGACAUUUAUUAAUGGACAUUUAUUAACGUCCCCGGUUGACCUGGGGACGUCAACCGGCGCCCUCUCCGGUGGAAGAUCCGGAUAUGUGUGGGAUGAGGAGCAGCUGGCGCAGGGCAUUGCGCCUGUAAGCAAUUCUUAACCCCCCCCCCACCCCAGCACAAAAGAGCCAGCCCCAUCCCUCACCCCAGCCCAGCCCCAACCCACAGCACAACUGAUCAGGUAAGCUGACUUCUCACCUGAUCAGUUGUGUUGUCUCUUGUCCCCGGGUUGGCACAGAGCCAGCCCCAUCCCUCACCCCACCCCAGUCCAAACAAACUUUAGAUAAUCUCUCACAUGGAUUUUCAUUUCUGCCCCCCACCAUCCCACCUGGCGGGGGGGAGUGGGGGGAAUCCCUCACCCCACCCCAGUCCAAACAAACUUUAGAUAAUCUCUCACAUGGAUUUUCAUUUCUGCUCCCCACCAUCUCACCUGGCGGGGGGAGUGGGGGGCAUCCCUCAACCCGGCCCAGCCCAACUCCACAUCGACAGCCCAAGAGGACAAAGGAAAGGAAGGCAGCAGGUCCAGAUAGAAUCUGCUGCUGGACUGUGCAGAACAGCUUUGUCAGGUAAGAAGUCCAGAACGAAGGCUGCCAACAUCCAGAGACUGGUGACUCCUCGUGCGCUGCAGCACUCAAGAGACAGCACACCCAGAAGAACAAGGAGGAGGCCUCAGAGUACGCCAAGCUGCUGGCCAAGAGGAUGAAGACAGGAGGCCAAGGAGAAGUGCCAGGAACAGAUCGCCAAGAGGCGCCGCCUUCAUUCUAUGAGGGCGUCCACAUCCAAGUCAGAGUCCAGCCAGAAGUGAAACAGAAUCAAAUAAAGUCAUGUUUUGCUGAAACAGUGUUGUACAGUUGUCAGUUAUCUUCUCUUCCACAUAUCCCCCCAUGAAGAGACACGUUAGAUGAUUUUUGUCAGCCCCUUGUGUGUCUACAUGAAUGCUCACGCAACAACAAGUUUUAGUUAGUGGUGGAUAAUCA
ensembl:lncRNA